UACGGAGGGGGCUAGCGUUAUUCGGAAUUACUGGGCGUAAAGCGCACGUAGGCGGAUCUGCAAGUCAGAUGUGAAAUCCCAGGGCUCAACCUUGGAACUGCCUUUGAAACUGCGGGUCUUGAGUUCGAGAGAGGUGAGUGGAAUUCCGAGUGUAGAGGUGAAAUUCGUAGAGAUUCGGAGGAACACCAGUGGCGAAGGCAGCUCCCUGGGUCAAUACUGACGCUGAGGUGCGAAAGCGUGGGGAGCAAACAGG
rnacentral:rRNA from 1 species